GUGCUGAUUCUGUCAGCACAUGUACUAACAUUGAAAUGAGACAGGGAAGAUCACAUAGCUACUGUGCAAGAAUAUCACACAAACUCAUAAAGUAUUCUGUAUUUUU
ensembl:snRNA U6 U6 spliceosomal RNA